rnacentral:rRNA from 1 species
GUUGGGAAUAUUGCGCAAUGGGGGAAACCCUGACGCAGCAACGCCGCGUGAAGGAAGACGGUUUUCGGAUUGUAAACUUCUUUUAUCAAGGACGAAACAAAUGACGGUACUUGAUGAAUAAGCUCCGGCUAACUUCGUGCCAGCAGCCGCGGUAAUACGAAGGGGGCUAGCGUUGCUCGGAAUUACUGGGCGUAAAGGGCGCGUAGGCGGACAGCUUAGUCAGAGGUGAAAGCCCAGGGCUCAACCUUGGAAUUGCCUUUGAUACUGGCUGGCUUGAGUUUGGGAGAGGUGAGUGGAACUCCGAGUGUAGAGGUGAAAUUCGUAGAUAUUCGGAAGAACACCAGUGGCGAAGGCGACUCACUGACCCAAUACUGACGCUGAGGCGCGAAAGCGUGGGGAGCAAACAGGAUUAGAAACCCCGGUAGUCC